ensembl:lincRNA Gm14264 predicted gene 14264
UGUGAACCUUUCCGUGCGAGAACGGCUGGACACACGAAAUCAUGAUCUGUAAAGGAAGUCACUCAUUUCUUUUAGGUUGGUGUGCUCCAUCAGGAACCCUUCUCAUACCUUCUUCUUGUUAUCCUCCUAACAGCGAGUCUAUUAACAAACUUUUGGUUCCUUGGGAAUUGCUCGGCCCGCAGCCCUGAUAAAGGAAGCCAAUCAGAACCCGGGUUUUAAUGAGUGGGGAUCACCAUUAUCUCAUUUUAAUUUGCAUUAAUCCAACAGCCCCGACUCUCCUUUAUUCCUGUGUUGCUUUGUGUUCCUCUGGAAAAUCUUGCUUUUCUUUUCAUGUUCAGUUUGGCUGCCCUGCCUCUCUCUAAAUGUCCUUGUGUGUAUCAAUCUCUCUUCUGAUUGUUCUAUCAUUCUGAAUUGGACUUUACUCUGUGGCGUUGCUUUGUUUUUGUUUUCCGAGGAUGUGGCAUUGUUUGCUAACACCGUUUUUAGCCCAUGGGAAAACUAUUGAUUUUUGUCAUCCUGGCUUACUGGAAUUUACUCUAAGAUCUGCUUUUUGCCUCACUAGCUCUCAGGAAAAAUGAAUCUGAAAAUAAUUACGAUUCUAUCUUUUAUAUCUUAAUGUUGAUAUGUGCUUUAUUUUCUUUUUAAAAUUUUGAUCCCAUUACACAAAUCACCCACUUAUGGAGUUUGGCCGUGCUGUGUGUACUCGGAUGUAGGUUUAUUAAGUCACACAAAAAUGAAUGAGCCAAAUUUGCUCUGCCAAGACAUCUGUCUGCCUGGAGUCUUCUCCCUGAGUCUCAAGUUCUCCAUUUGUGAAAGGAAGUACAGAAACAAGGAAGACUGGCAGCGUCACCAAACACUGACAAAGCUAUGGAGCAUCUACACCACACUGGAGUCUGAGUGUGUAUUGUGGCUCUCCAGAAAGUCUCCAGGCCUUCGGCAACUGAUUGGAAGCACCAAGACAUCCAGCUUUUGGACUGAGCAGCUACUGGGGUUCCAGAUUCUCCAGGUGUAGACAGGAAUUGUUAGCUCUUAAAUAACUCUGAUGUAUGUGUGUGUGUGUAUAUAUAUAUAUAUAUAUAUAUAUAUAUAUAUAUCACAAACAUACACAGACACACAUAUAUAUGUAUAUAUACAUAUAUCCUUAUGUCCUUAUGUACAUGCUGUAUUUACUGGGUAUCUACAAUGGGCUAGGGAGUGCUUUCAUCCUGACAACUGAGCAAUUAAAAGAAAAAAAUUUAAUUAAGCAUUAAAAAUUAAAAGCACUAUUUUUUUUUAAACUGAGUUGAUGAAACAACAUUGUAGCAAGUGGAGACAAAAUAAUCAGGUAAAAACUUAAUGAUUGUGACCAUUUUUGAAGACAAAGUAUCAAAAAGGAGGUAUACACUUUGAAACAGGACCACUAGGAAGGUCUCCUGGGAGAAGGUGGCAUCUGUCUCGGACACAGGAGGGAAGGUGCAGGCCUCUGCAGGGUUAGCACCAUACAAUCUGGCAGACUGAAGCUAAGGUCCUGGGUGAGGACAUGGCCACAGCCCGUGUCUAAGGAAGAGCAACAAGAAAGGUUAUGUGGUUCCGGGAAAGAAACGGGAAAGGAGAACAGAGCCAGGCCGUGACAAACAGCAGGCUGAGAUUGGCAUUUGGGGGAGUCUUGUUUUUUUCUGGAAGAAGUCGGAUGGUCCAGGUUUGUGGCAUUCUGGACAGCACACAUCUCUUAACCAAGAUACCUCACGCGGCCACAGCACCAUGGACGCGGUCACAGAAAGCACUGAACACGAAUGAGUGGCUGUGUGCCAAUAAAACUUUAUUUGUGG